UCGAGAAUUUUUCACAAUGGGCGAAAGCCUGAUGGAGCGACGCCGCGUGGGGGAUGAAUGGCUUCGGCCCGUAAACCCCUGUCAUUUGCGAACAAUGCGUCCCCGUGAACAACGGGAGGCGUUGAUAGUAGCAGAAGAGGAAGAGACGGCUAACUCUGUGCCAGCAGCCGCGGUAAUACAGAGGUCUCAAGCGUUGUUCGGAUUUACUGGGCGUAAAGGGUGUGUAGGCGGUUGGGUAAGUCUGAAGUGAAAUCUCUAAGCUCAACUUAGAAAAUGCUUCGGAUACUAUCCGGCUAGAGGGUCGGAGAGGAGAUCGGAAUUCUCGGUGUAGCAGUGAAAUGCGUAGAUAUCGAGAGGAACAUCAGUGGCGAAGGCGGAUCUCUGGACGAAUCCUGACGCUGAGGCACGAAAGCCAGGGUAGCAAACGGG
rnacentral:rRNA from 1 species